UACGUAGGGUGCGAGCGUUGUCCGGAAUUAUUGGGCGUAAAGGGCGCGUAGGCGGCUUGGCAAGUGGAAGGUGAAAUCCCUCGGCUUAACCGAGGAACUGCCUUCCAGACUGCUUUGCUUGAGGCCGGGAGAGGCGAGUGGAAUUCCCAGUGUAGCGGCGAAAUGCGUAGAUAUUGGGAGGAACACCAGUGGCGAAGGCGGCUCGCUGGACCGGUUCUGACGCUGAGGCGCGAAAGCUAGGGGAGCAAAUGGG
rnacentral:rRNA from 1 species